AACUGGUCAAGAACUAGAGUUGUUCCCCUGAUGAGUCCAGGGUAGGACGAAACCAAUC
rnacentral:hammerhead_ribozyme from 11 species